ensembl:lncRNA
UUAAGUUUCAAAUAUUUUUACUCUAUAGUUUUGGAGAAAACUAAAGCCAAAUUCAACCACAAGCAUCUAAGUGCAUAAGCACUUUUACACCAUGUCCCAUAUUCAAACAUUCAUAAAAUUCUUUGCUUUAUAGGUUUGCUUGUUCUUUCAGUUGAUUCCUGUUCACAGUCCCUCUGACCAUUACUGUAUUAAAUUUCAAAUAUUUCUACUCUAUAGUUUUGGAGAAAAUUAAUGGCAAAUUCACCCCAAGCAUCCAAGUGUAUAAGCACUUUUACACCAUGUCACAUUUUCAAACACUCAUAAAAUUCUUUGCUUUAUAGGUUUGCUUGUUCUUUCAGUUGAUUCCUAUUCACAGUCACUCUGACCAUUACUG